rnacentral:rRNA from 1 species
AGAAUCAACGCUGGCGGCGUGCCUCAGACAUGCAAGUCGAACGCGAAAGUUUCCUUCGGGAGACAAGUAGAGUGGCGCACGGGUGAGUAACACGUAGGUAAUCUACCUUCGGAUGGGGAAUAACAGUCGGAAACGGCUGCUAAUACCGCAUAAUGCAGCGGCACCUAAUGGUGACAGUUGUUAAAGCGGGGGAUCGAAAGACCUCGCGUCUGAAGAGGAGCCUGCGGCGGAUUAGCUAGUUGGUAAGGUAACGGCUUACCAAGGCUACGAUCCGUA